GGAGGGGUGGCAGAGCGGUUGAAUGCACCGGUCUUGAAAACCGACGUAGGGUAACACCUACCCAGGGUUCGAAUCCCUGUCCCUCCACCA
rnacentral:tRNA from 1 species